AAGACAAACCUCAGGAGCCAUCCAACGGUAAGUGCCAGUCUCAGCGGUCAUCAUCUCAGUGACAGUUUCUUCCCGAGCAAGGCCAAAAUCAGCAAGCUUGAGGGAUUUGUGAUCCUCCGUGAGCAAUAGGUUGUCAGGUCCUAACAUCUUCUUCUUAUUCUAAGAGUCUCUGUUCCUCUUAGCAGCAAAAAGCUGGCGAAUGAAUGCAAACUUCCCUUUUGCGCGGCUGGAGAACUCAGUGAUAGCUCUGAUUCUGUCGCCCUCGCCCUCAGGCAGAGGACGAGGAGGAGGAGGAGAGAGGGUAAGGAUGAACUCGUUGAGCAAUCGGAUAAUCUGGCUGAAGCUGGGCCUCAUGUUUGGGUCCUCCACCCAGCACGAUUGCACAAUGAAGGCGAGACUGGGAGAUAUUCCAUCUGGAAUUCCGGGCCUCUCCUGCUGCAAUGUUCGAAAACAACAAAACUGAGGUUGGAUUUUGAAAGAGAAUAUAUAUCAGUUAUUAUUAGGAUACAAAAGAGAAGAAGGACCUUGAAAGCUGCAGCAUAGGCGGCUUGGAGGUUGGACAUGCCCUCGAAUGGCAUGCGAUUAGUAAGAAGCUCCCAUAGGACGAUUCCGAAGCUGUAGACAUCGACCUUGUUGUUGUAGUGCUUCUUCUCUCCUUGACGCAGCGUCACCGUACUGUAGAGCUAUUAUACGAAGACAUAAACAUAAUCAUUUCUUAGAUAAGGCAUAUAAAUGUGACAAGACAAACCUCAGGAGCCAUCCAACGGUAAGUGCCAGUCUCAGCGGUCAUCAUCUCAGUGACAGAUUCUUCCCGAGCAAGGCCAAAAUCAGCAAGCUUGAGGGAUUUGUGAUCCUCCGUGAGCAAUAGGUUGUCUGUUAAGAGGAGUGGAAACAAACCAAUUUAGUAAGAUGGAAAAAUGAGAAUGAGGAGCUAGCUAUAAAAGUAAAAAAAACAACAAGUCAUUGAGAUGAUUACGUACGUAAGAAGCUCCCAUAGGACGAUUCCGAAGCUGUAGACAUCGACCUUGUUGUUGUAAUGCUUCUUCUCUCCUUGACGCAGCGUCACCGUACUGUAGAGCUAUUAUACGACAUAAACAUAAUUAGGGGGGGUUUUGUUUUCUUAGAUAAGGCAUAUAAAUGUGACAAGACAAACCUCAGGAGCCAUCCAACGGUAAGUGCCAGUCUCAGCGGUCAUCAUCUCAGUGACAGAUUCUUCCCGAGCAAGGCCAAAAUCAGCAAGCUUGAGGGAUUUGUGAUCCUCCGUGAGCAAUAGGUUGUCUGUUAAGAGGAGUGGAAACAAACCAAUUUAGUAAGAUGGAAAAAUGAGAAUGAGGAGCUAGCUAUAAAAGUAAAAAAAACAACAAGUCAUUGAGAUGAUUACGUACCAGGUUUGAGGUCACGGUGAAUGAUGCCAUUGGCGUGUAAGCAGUCCAAGGCGCGGGCAAUGUCAAGGGCAAAGGACAAAGCGACAGGGAGAUCAAGGAGGUGAGGGCGGAUGCUGGUGAGAUAUUUGCUGAGUGACAUCCCUGGGAGC
rnacentral:lncRNA from 1 species